rnacentral:tRNA from 1 species
UCCCCGAUAGCUCAGCCGGUAGAGCGGGUGACUGUUAAUCACUAGGUCGCAAGUUCGAGUCUUGCUCGGGGAG